GGGGGGGGCGGGGGGCGGGCCGAGGGCAUGCAAGGCGAGCGGACGGACGAGGAGGUUGCUUCUCUGAUGUUAGCGGCGGACGGGUGAGUAACACGUGGAUAACCUACCUAUCAGACUGGGAGAACUUCGUGAAACCGGAUCUAAUGCCGGAUAAUAUUUUGCACCGCAUGGUUCAAAAGUGAAAAACGGCCGUGCUGUCACUACUCGCUGGAUCCGCGCUGCAUUAGCUCGUUGGUAAGUUAACGGGUUACCAAGGCAACGAUGCAUAGCCGACCUGAGAGGGUGAUCGGCCACACUGGAACUGAGACACGGUCCAGACUACUACGGGAGGCAGCAGUAGGGAAUCUUCCGCAAUGGGCGAAAGCCUGACGGAGCAACGGCGCGUGAGUGAUGAAGGUCUUCGGAUCGUAAAACUCUGUUAUUAGGGAAGAACAUAUGUGUAAGUAACUGUGCACAUCUUGACGGUACCUAAUCAGAAAGCCACGGCUAACUACGUG
rnacentral:rRNA from 1 species